GGCCUCGUAGCUCAGCUGGUAGAGCGUGCGCUGUACAAAAGCAUGGGUUCGAAUCCGACCGAGGUUA
rnacentral:tRNA from 1 species